rnacentral:rRNA from 1 species
AACGUAGGACACAAGCGUUAUCCGGAAUUACUGGGCGUAAAGGGCGCGUAGGCGGCCUUCUAAGUCAGACGUGAAAUCCCCCGGCUUAACCUGGGAACUGCGUCUGAUACUGGAGGGCUUGAGUGCGGGAGAGGGAUGUGGAAUUCCAGGUGUAGCGGUGAAAUGCGUAGAUAUCUGGAGGAAUACCGGUGGCGAAGGCGGCAUCCUGGACCGGCAUUGACGCUGAUGAGCGAAAGCUAGGGGAGCAAACGGG